GACGAACGCUGGCGGCGUGCCUAACACAUGCAAGUCGAGCGGGGACAUUGCGACAGAUAUGAAGUUUUCGGAUGGAUUUGAAGAUGUAAUGUUCUAGCGGCGGACGGGUGAGUAACGCGUGAGCAACCUGUCCCUUACAGGGGGAUAACACAGCGAAAGUUGUACUAAUACCGCAUGAGACCACAAAGCGACAUCGCUUAGGGGUCAAAGGAGUAAUCCGGUAAGGGGUGGGCUCGCGUCCGAUUAGAUAGUUGGUGAGGUAACGGCCCACCAAGUCGACGAUCGGUAGCCGACCUGAGAGGGUGAUCGGCCACAUUGGGACUGAGACACGGCCCAAACUCCUACGGGAGGCAGCAGUGGGGAAUAUUGGGCAAUGGGGGAAACCCUGACCCAGCAACGCCGCGUGAGGGAAGAAGGUUUUCGGCAUCGUAAACCUCUGUCCUUGGUGAAGAGAAAGAGACGGUAGCCA
rnacentral:rRNA from 1 species